AUGGUGACGGCGGCGUCGCUUCCAUACAAAGCCGAUGGUAGCAAAAAAAAGGAUUGCUGGUUCCAGCAAAAAUCGAAGCCGGUGGAAGAAAAAUUGGGGCUGGUUCCAGCAAAAAUCGAAGCCGGUGAAAGCAGGCUGGUUCCAGCAAAAAUCGAAGCCGGUGAAAGCAGGCUGGUUCCAGCAAAAAUCGAAGCCGGUGAAAGCAGGCUAGUUCUAGCAAAAAUCGAAGCCGGUGGAAGCAAAAUUGGGGCUGGUUCCAGCAAAAACAAAAGACAGUGGAAGCAAAACUGGGGCUGGUUCCAGCAAAAACAAAAGACAGUGGUAGCAAAAAGAUUGUUGGUUUCAUCAAAAAUUGAAAGCGGUGGUAGCAAAAAUUGGGCUGGUCAGCAAAAUCAAGAUAGUAGAGUUGCAUCCCUUUUGUGUCGGAGCUGCAACCGGCAAGUGGCAGAGCUGCAACCGGCUAUAGGAGAGUUGCAAUCGGCGAGCGGCGGAGCUGGAACGGGCUAG
rnacentral:rRNA from 1 species